rnacentral:lncRNA from 1 species
UACUGUUAUGGAUGAGAUAUUCUAGCCCUUAUCUGCUCCUGCAAACUUAUUUACUCCCGUGAGAUUAUGGAGAGUUGAUUAUGUCCGAGCUUAUUCAUAGGGUGGACAGCUGCUGCACGUGCUAGAGAACUGGCUGGCUAAAAUAAUGGAGGGAGCUCAUGUGCCAGAUAGACCGCACAACUGACUGGAUAAAAAUGGGUCUGCUCUAGAUACCUCAACUCGGUGUUUGGGU